UACGUAGGGGGCAAGCGUUGUCCGGAAUCAUUGGGCGUAAAGCGCGUGUAGGCGGCUCGAUAAGUCUGCUGUGAAAGUCCAGGGCUCAACCCUGGAAUGCCGGUGGAAACUGUCGAGCUAGAGUCCGGAAGAGGCGAGUGGAAUUCCCGGUGUAGCGGUGAAAUGCGCAGAUAUCAGGAGGAACACCAAUGGCGAAGGCAGCUCGCUGGGACGGUACUGACGCUGAGACGCGAAAGCGUGGGGAGCGAACAGG
rnacentral:rRNA from 1 species